GUAGAAUCAAUCCGUGAUAUUGAACCACGUUUUGGUUUAUCAGUUUCAUCUACAGAGGUUAAUCUGGACAAUGGUUCUUUUUGUGUUGUCUCACUUUUAUCAUCUGUAGAAUCAAUCCGUGAUAUUGAACCACGUUUUGGUUUAUCAGUUUCUACUACAGAGGUUAAUCUGGACAAUGGUUCGGUUGGUGUUUUCUCACUUUUAUCUUCUGUAGAAUCGAAUCGAGAUAUUGAACCACGUUUUGGUUUAUCAGUUUC